UUGUAAUCUGGCAGCUUCGCUGUCCGAGUUGUAGUCUCAAGAAAUGUUUUCCGCGCUGGAUCGUGUAUGAGUCUGUUGGAAUACAGCGUCAUAGAGGGUGAGAACCCCGUUCGUGACACGACUACCAGUGCUUUGUGAUACAUUUUCGAUGAGUCGAGUUGUUUGAGGAAUGCAGCUCAAAUUGGGUGGUAAAUUCCAUCUAAAGCUAAAUAUUGGCGAGAGACCGAUAGCAAACAAGUACCGUGAGGGAAAGAUGAAAAGCACUUUGGAAAGAGAGUUAACAGUACGUGAAAUUGUUGAAAGGGAAACGUUUGAAGUCAGACGUGCGUUGUGCGAUUCAGCUCCGGUUCGCCGGAGUGUAUUUCGUACUAUUGCAGGCCAGCAUCGGUUUGGCGAGCCGGAUAAAGGUUAGAGAAAGGUAGCGGUUCAGGCCGUGUUAUAGUCUUUAACUGAAUACGGAUUGCUAGACCGAGGGACGCAGCGCGCCGUAAGGCAAAGCUUUCGGGCUUUUCGCGCUUAGGAUGCUGGUGAAAUGGCUUUAAAUGACC
rnacentral:rRNA from 1 species